rnacentral:rRNA from 1 species
UACGAAGGGGGCUAGCGUUGCUCGGAAUCACUGGGCGUAAAGCGCACGUAGGCGGAUUGUUAAGUCAGGGGUGAAAUCCUGGAGCUCAACUCCAGAACUGCCCUUGAUACUGGGGAUCUCGAGUCCGGAAGAGGUUGGUGGAACUCCGAGUGUAGAGGUGAAAUUCGUAGAUAUUCGGAAGAACACCAGUGGCGAAGGCGGCCAACUGGUCCGGCACUGACGCUGAGGCGCGAAAGCGUGGGGAGCAAACAGG